rnacentral:rRNA from 1 species
GACGAACCGUGCGAACGUUGUUCGGAAUCACUGGGCUUAAAGGGCGCGUAGGCGGGUUCGCAAGUCAGGGGUGAAAUCUUUCAGCUUAACUGGAAAACAGCCCCUGAUACUGCGAGUCUCGAGGGAGGUAGGGGCAGUGUGGAACUUCCGGUGGAGCGGUGAAAUGCGUUGAUAUCGAUAGGAACUCCGGUGGCGAAGGCGGCAUACUGGACCACAUCCUGACGCUGAGGCGCGGAAAGCCAGGGGAGCGGAACGGG